GGAUAUGGCUCAGUUGGUAGAGCGCCAGGUUGUGGCCCUGGAUGCCGUGAGUUCGAACCUCACUAUC
rnacentral:tRNA from 1 species